rnacentral:rRNA from 1 species
GUUUGAUUAUGGCUCAGGAUGAACGCUAGCUACAGGCUUAACACAUGCAAGUCGAGGGGCAGCAUGAGAUUAGCUUGCUAAUCUUGAUGGCGACCGGCGCACGGGUGAGUAACGCGUAUCCAACCUUCCCCUUAGUAGGGCAUAGCCCGGUGAAAAUCGGAUUAAUACCCUAUGUUGUCAAUAGAGGACAUCUGAAGCUGACCAAAGAUUUAUCGCUAAGGGAUGGGGAUGCGUCUGAUUAGAUAGUAGGCGGGGUAACGGCCCACCUAGUCGACGAUCAGUAGGGGUUCUGAGAGGAAGGUCCCCCACAUUGGAACUGAGACACGGUCCAAACUCCUACGGGAGGCAGCAGUGAGGAAUAUUGGUCAAUGGGCGCGAGCCUGAACCAGCCAAGUAGCGUGCAGGAUGACGGCCCUAUGGGUUGUAAACUGCUUUUAUACAGGGAUAAAGUGAUCCACGUGUGGGUUUUUGUAGGUACUGUAUGAAUAAGGACCGGCUAAUUCCGUGCCAGCAGCCGC